rnacentral:lncRNA from 1 species
CUAAAUCACUAUUUUCUUUUCAAACAAACAUUGCAGAAAUAUACUUUACAUUUUUUCAUACAUUCAAUCACAUAAAUUUUAAGUUUCAAAUAUUAAAAAAAAGGGGCAAUUGCUUAUAUAUCCUUGAAAAGUUCCCGACCUUUUGAUAUACCCUCUUAGAAAGCUAAUAUUGAAAAUACUCUUUUUACGUUCCAAGCUAUUUCAAAUAUACCCUUAGAGUUAAAAUCUGUUAAUUAACUUUGUUAUCUAUAUAAAAUUAUUAUUUUGCUCUUUCAAAUAUACCCUUUCACUAUCACCGACUUUUCUUAUUUGCCCUUAAAGUGAGGGGCACAAAAAGUAUUUUGACUUUUGGUCUUUUCAAAUAUACCCCUAUACCGUCACCAACAUUUCUUAUUUGCCCUUAAGUUAAGGGCAAAAUUGGUAUUUUAAUUUUUUUUAACUAUGGUAGAUAUUUAACUCACGUUUAACCCAAGUUAAUUUAAUAGGAGAUAACUGCAGGGGUAUUUUGCAAUAACAGUGGAAUAUAUAAUGGGUAUUUUAGAAAGAAAAAAAAAUAGGGAUAAAUCGAAUAUUUUCAAACGUAUGAGGAACAUAUAGGCAAUUAUCCCUAAAAAAAUAUAUAUAAGAUUUUAAUAAAUAGUCUAAUUAAAAUUAUAUUUCUAAAUUGGUGAGUCAUGUUCUACCUUUGAUUGCGGAUAAUCGAAAACCUAAUUUCGCACUUGUAAAACGUGCUCAUAGUUUUUGACAACUAAGAUUCUAAAAUUACAUAAGCGAUCUCACCGUCUAUUAGCAGCAAGAUUUUUUAGUUAAUAGUAAGUAGAUAUCAGAUGAACCAUACUACGUGCACUAACUGAAAAGAUAACGAAAGAGACGAUAAAAUUGUAGAUAGAAAAAUGUCACGUAAGAGACAACUGAAUAACUGAUAGAAAUAGAUAAUGUAUAGUUGGAAUUGAACUCCGGAUUGUUUGCGUAAAAGAGGUUUAGGAUUGACUCACAUAUCAUAUUAAUUAAAAGUUAGAUCGAUCUAGGAGGAAACAGUUUAUGAUUAGUCAUAAUA